CUAAAUUCCUCUUCACCCUUGAUUUUUUCCCGCGGUUUCCUCAUAUCGCACCCUGCGACGUUACCACUAUCGACCAUCUGCUCCUUUCACGGUCAGUUACUCGAUUUGCACUGACUAGCCGGGCUGCCGCAACGACGUGGGCAGCAACAACAAAGGAGAAUUACGGUAUGGCUAAUGGCACCGUAAAAUGGUUCAACGCAACUAAAGGCUACGGCUUUAUCGCACCUGAAGGUGGCGGCAAAGACGUAUUCGUUCACAUUUCUGCCGUUGAGCGCGCCGGUCUGACCGGUCUGGCCGACGACCAGAAAGUGACAUUCGACAUCGAAGCAGGCCGUGACGGUCGCGAGUCGGCAUCGAACAUCGUUCUGGCAUAAGCCACUGACGUUAAGAUUGAACUGGGCCCUCUACGGGGCCCUUUUUCAU
rnacentral:misc_RNA from 1 species